GCUGGGAUGGCCGAGUCGUUAAGGCGAGUGAUUUGAAUCUUCUCAGAUAUGGAAGGACACUAUCACUUGGUGUUUCACCGCGUAGGUUCAAAUCCUGCUCCCAGCG